rnacentral:tRNA from 1 species
UACAUACUAGCCAAACGGUAAGGCAAGAGGACUGUAAAUCCUUUAUAUGCGGGUUCGAAUCCCGUGUGUGAAA